CUUUUUCCCCAGAUGAUCCAAAUCUCUACUUGCCUUUUAAACAUCUCAGCAGCUUCUUUCUGUUUCUUUGGCAACUUAUGCUGUACAGCUAAGGAGCUGUCUAGUGACACAGCCACAAGUUCCAAGCCACUGCUUUUUAUUUGGAUUCUGUGCCUUGAUCUGUGAAUUGGCAAGUGCCCCAAAGGGACAAAGCAGCAGACUAAGUGCCACUGGCAUCAAUGGAGGAGAUGGAACUAAACGUGAUUGUUUUAUAUCUGUAGCUGUUAGUGCAUGGUAAGAUACUUCUGGUGGUAAUUUUAUUUACAGCUUCCUCUUUAUUGACC
rnacentral:lncRNA from 1 species